UUAUGACUUCAACUUUUGGAAGAAGUUACCAUGACUAGUAUAUAAUAUAGAUGCUUAUAAAUAUAAGAAAUAUUUAGUAGCCAAAAUUAGGACAAUCAGAUUGAUAAGAAAUAAUAGAUUUUUUCUUUUUCUUUGAUAGAAUUCAUGUUCAGAUUCUUUGUCAAUCUGGAUCUCCAAUUCUGGAUAAUUCUGGUAUGUUGGGGUCUUCUCGAUGGAAGACUGGAACCUGAAGACAGUAUCCGACAAAACUUAUAAAAUGAGGAGCAUGGGGGACCACAGCUCCAUGAGGAGUUAAGGCCAGAUUUAUUGUUAUUAUUCUUUUUUUAUACAUUUUUCAGCUGGAUACAUCAAUCAUUAACAGUUUACAAUGCUGGUCAACUAACCACCAGUUAUAUCUGCUUGGCCUUGGCUUGGGAGGAAGAACAGAAGUCAUAUGCCAUGAAGUCUUCCGUGGGUUGGUUGCAGUGCAACACCCUGAAUUACAGGCUAAAUGUCUACAGUAGUCAGAGGCUUGCUGAGAGCCGACAUGAUGUUCCCAUGAGCAGGAUGAAUCACUACAAUCCUGAUGGAAAUAGGUUUUCGAGGAGGUCUGAUUACUUUGGGAUCAAACUCAGGACCUUGCACUUGAGAGGCAGGUGGCAGAACCACUGAGCUAAAUCCCUGGCCCAGGAAAAAGGUUUGAAACCUGUGACAUUUUUGUCUUCACUGGCCAUCUCGCUGAUUUUCACCAGGACAGACUGACACACUUGGAGAAGCUUAAUCCACACACCAUAGUCCCCACUGAUUUUAUGGAAACCAAUUCUGUUCCUUCAGAAGAUACAUGAGCUGUCGGCACAUGCCAGAGGUCACAGUGCUGUCUUGCUGACCAAAGGGACUCACAACUGGAUAAAAUGUCAUGUUUGCAUGCCUGUAGGUAGGCACAUCUCACCUGUUUUUUACAGUCUUCCAAUCCUUUGUUCUACCUUUUCCCCACACAGUGUCCUACUGCAUGAACCCUGAGGCUGUUUAGAUUUGUGAACUGUAACUUAAAUAUUGCCUUAAAACCUGUAUGAUAGAUAUGAACUUCCUGUUAUAUAAUCUCAUCCCCGACUGUAAAGAUGGCCAAAAUUAAUUUUCUUUCAAAUUUCAUUCUAGGGGCUGGGGAUUUAGCUCAAUGGUGCUGUGCCUGCCUUGCAAGCACAAGGUCCUGAGUUUGAUCCUUGGUACCAAAAAAAAAAUAAAUAAAUAAAAAAUAAAAUAAAAUAAAAUUUCAUUCUAGUUUAAUAUGAAGUAACAGGUGGGAAGUUAGUAACUCAUGAGUUUACAUUUCUGGGAUGGUUUUUACCUUCUAAAUGCUCCCCCCUUCUCACUCUGAUAACA
rnacentral:lncRNA from 1 species